UCAGCCUCCCAGCCUGGUGCAGGGAGAGAGGGAAGUGAGGCUCCCUGGGGGGCUCUCAUAAGUGCCUGUGCCCGUGACCCAGACGCACGGACACACGCAUGGGGCGCAGCCAGCAGUCCCCCCACACGUCCCCCCCGCCCACCCCGCUGCGACAGUCUGUGUUUGGGGAGAAACAACCCAGGCAGCCGGGAGCAGCCCAGAGCCUCAGCUCUUUGUAGAAGACAGUUACUUCUUACCUGGACCUUGACCUUGAAGCUGAGGCCCUUCAUGCUGCUGUAGGACAAGCUGGGUUGUUGUGAAGGCAGGCUGGUUCACACCCUUCUUCUGGAUUCGUCCCACACCCGCCUGGACCCCCACAGGCCCUUACUUCUGUGCACCUGCUAAGCCAUCUGUUGCUUCACUUGGGCCCCUCCCUCCCCCCCCCCAAGGUUGGUGGUAUUUCUACACCUUCUCUUGCUGGCUCAGUGGAUGCGUCUGAGUAAAGGAACUCCAGACCCUUCUCCACCUGCAGCUUCCAGAGAGGAGGACAGGACUGCCAAAAGCCCCCCGCUGGCCCCAUGCUGGGAUCCCUGCCGGGCACUUCACACCCAUUAUUCUAUAAGCUGUCAGGGAGGUGUCACCAGUCCCACUGUAGGGACAAAACGGGCGGGGACCCACAGAAGUAAGCUGACCUGUUUGAAGUCAGGUUGUAAGGACUGUUAUCACUUAUUAAAAGCCUUUCCUUUCGGUUGA